rnacentral:siRNA from 1 species
UGGAUUCAUUUCCGUUUGAGUAUG